rnacentral:lncRNA from 1 species
UUUUUUUUUUUUUUCUCCUAAGAGCUAGUCACCUUUGUUUUCUCUCUAGGAAGGAAAGAAUAAUAUUUAAUAAUUACUGCUUGAAAUAAUAGGGAAGGUCUGUUCUGAAACAAAUUCCAACUGGAUCGAAAAAUUAAAGGUAUGAAAAAAAAUCUCAGAGUUCCCGUGUGGCUCAGUGGGUUAAGAACCCAACAUAGUAUCCAUGAGGAUGCAGGUUUGAUCCCUGGCCUCAUUCAGUGGGCUAAGGAUCCAGUGUUGCUGAAAGCUGCAGUCAGUGUAGGUCACAGAUGAGGCUUGGAUCCAGUGUUGCCAUGACUGUGGUGUAGGCUGGCAGCUGCAGCUCUGAUUCAGUCCCUAACCUGGGAACGUCCUUAUGCUGCAGGUGCUGCCAUUAAAAAGCAAAAAAAAAAAAAAAAAAAGAAUUUUGAUAAAUUUUUGGAAGGUAGAAAAUAUGAAUUAAUGAGAAAUCUACUUAUCAAAAAGUAGAGAAAAUUGUAAACAUAAGAGCCUAGAAAAGGGCUGGGAACCAGACCUGAGUCACUUAUCCUGGAGAGGUCAGCUCAGGGUCACCAAGCAGGAGAAGGGAGUGGGGAGUGGGGCUGAAACCAGAGGUAGAGUGGUAGUAAGAACAUGCCUUUGGGUUGCUUGCUCACCCCACCCCCUGCUUGAUAGUGGUCGGCCAAGAGCAAGUCGUAUCCCUGUCUCUCUCCUCCUCCACUGCAGUCCAUUCCUCUAAUUCCACUACCACCAGACCAUCAGUUGUACUCACAUUCCUUCUGUUGAAAAGAACUGGUCAAAAUGUUCUUCCUGGAUGCAGGGGGAGGUGGAAGAUGCCGUCCAGGGCCUGCGUGGGCUGCCCACCACUCCUCUGUGCUGGGAAAAGAAGAUCUGCCUUUUGAUGGCCCAAUAGCAGCAUAUGCCACACUCUCUAAGAACUGUUGUAUAAUGAAGAUGUGAAUUAUUUGUGGAUGCUAAUGGCAACUGCUAACAUCUAAUGAGUCAGGGAUUGUGUCCAAGGAUUUAUGUACAUUAUCUUGAGUCUCAAAACCUAUGAGGUUGUGUCCUGUCCCCUUGCCUCGAGUUUCAAAAACCACAACACCAUCUAGCAAGGGCACCUGUUGUACCUCGUUUCUGAAGAGUGAGCCUGGGCUGCAAUGAAUUGAUGGCUGGAUCUGCAUUGCCAUUUUGUAACCUUGAGAGAAAAGUCUGGAGAAUCAUAGGUGCAUCAGCCCUGACAACACUGACUCGGAGAACCAAGAUCAGCAUUUAACUCCUUGGUCAAAAAUAUGCAGCGCCCACACGCGCAAAAGGAGUCCCCUGGUGGCCUAGCAGGUUAGAAGAGAAGAUAUCUAACUGUGUUGUCCACAAAAUUUACCACCUAUCUGCAGUUCCUCUGGCCAAAGGUCACAGCAACUCUGUCAUCGCCUCUUUUCCCAUCACCGGUAAGGUCUGUUUUCCUUAGGCUGCAGCCAUCUCAGCUGCUAUCACCAUUGGAUGUACCAAGAGGAGCCACCAUGGCACCACUCAUCACCACAGCGGCCACUUGUUAGGUUUACCAACGGAGGAACACGCACGGCCAAGUCGAUAAAGCAAGAGAGAUUUAUGAAGGCAUCUGAAACAGAUGGGCUGAGUUCAAGAUGGCGCCACCCUGAUGCAGCCGUCGAGUCUGUUGUGACCACAUCUACCACUAUCUCCUCAGUCUCCAUUGCCUCUGCCGCCAUCUUUUCCGCCGUCUCCUCAGUGGAAGUCACAGCCCUUACCAUCCGUUGGCCCGUCAUCAGCCUGCACUAUCUCCACAGGCUUUGCUGUCUGGAGAACUAGUCAUAAACAGAAAAACUGUGGUGGGCACUUUCCUGGACAGGUGAAUACCUGUACAAAUACAAAAUGAAGCAGAAUGUUGGGUGGUUCCUGUAUCUCGAAUAGAAGCACAGUUAUUCGACAUUUCAAAU